rnacentral:rRNA from 1 species
GCUGGCGGCGUAGCGCGGUGGUCCCACCUGACCCCAUGCCGAACUCAGAAGUGAAACGCCGUAGCGCCGAUGACCUGACCCCAUGCCGAACUCAGAAGUGAAACGCCGUAGCGCCGAUGGUAGUGUGGGGUCUCCCCAUGCGAGAGUAGGGAACUGCCAGAC